GUCUACGGCCAUACCACUCUGAACACGCCCUAUCUCUUCUGAUCUCAGAAGCUAAGCAGGGUCGGGCCUGCUUAGUACUUAGAUGGGAGAGAAACACCAGAGCACUGCUCAGCUCUGGCUU
ensembl:rRNA 5S_rRNA 5S ribosomal RNA